CACGUAGGGGGCGAGCGUUGUCCGGAUUUAUUGGGCGUAAAGAGCUCGUAGGCGGCUCAGUAAGUCAGGUGUGAAAACUCCAGGCUCAACCUGGAGACGCCACCUGAUACUGCUGUGGCUAGAGUCCGGUAGGGGAGCAUGGAAUUCCUGGUGUAGCGGUGAAAUGCGCAGAUAUCAGGAGGAACACCAGUGGCGAAGGCGGGUCUCUGGGCAGUAACUGACGCUGAGGAGCGAAAGCGUGGGGAGCGAACAGG
rnacentral:rRNA from 1 species